rnacentral:rRNA from 1 species
CAGCAGCCGCGGUAAUACAGAGGAUGCAAGCGUCAUCCGGAAUGAUUGGGCGUAAAGUGUCUAUAGGUGGCUUUUCAAGUCCGCCGUCAAAUCCCAGGGCUCAACCGUGGACAGGCGGUGGAAACUACCAAGCUGGAGUACGGUAGGGGCAGAGGGAAUUUCCGAUGGAGCGGUGAAAUGCGUUGAGAUCGGAAAGAACACCAACGGAGAAAGCACUCUGCUGGGCCGACACUGACACUGAGAGACGAAAUCUAGGGGAGCAAAUGGGAUUAGAUACCCCGGUAGUCCCUGUCUCUUAUAC